GUUUCCCACAGACGGCGCCAAUCUGCUGACCCCAAAAAGUGCGCCAACAGAUGCCGGUCCCACCCGCGCUUGCGUGGGUGAAUGUCCAACACGCUAAGACAUAUGGACGGUCUAAAAUGAACGGUUUAAAGGGGUGUGGGAGUAGCCCAACGACGCGGGACGGUGAUGUUUGGAAUCCGGCGGGUUGCUCGUAAUCCGAUUGUAUAAUGAUUACCAACCGGUGCUUGUAAAUGUAUAAGUGAAAGUGUAUGAACUUGAUUUGUGUAUUGUAAGUAACUGAGAGAGAGUUGAGUAAAUGUAGUUUUUAGUAUUGAUUCUUGCAUUAGCCUUUGACAUUACACAAUGGAAGUAUUUAUAGUGAUACAUAUGAAAUGGGAGCCCUUGGAUGAAGUGGCACGUGGCCUCAUCUCCUUAGUUCAAACGUCUGUUCUUAGGCAUGAGACUUGACUUGCUAGCUUACGGCACAUUUAUUGCUUGCGCAGGUCCUUUAUACUAGUGACAAGACUUGACCUUUAUGCUUAUGACAAACGUUCCAUCAAUCAUUCGAAUAAGAUCUGUGUAGGCGAUCUCUUGGGAGAAGUGACCAUGGAGGAUGCACUUCGGGGCUUCGCCCAUUUGACAAAUACUUCCACUUGAGGACCUCAGCUACGUCCAACAGGUUCCAUGCCUCGGGUCAUGGGCCUCGGCUUGAAGCACUUCGGAUAUAACCCACCUCGGCAUGUGUGCCACCUCGACAGGAAUGCCACGUGAAUCAGGAUGAGUGGGCCAUUGGUCCGGGUGGAUAGGACAGGUGUGACAACACGCAACAGAUGCACUGACUAUUGUACAACGUUAUGAAAAACGGGAUAUAUUUUUUACUAUAACAUGCAACCCAAAUUGGCCAGAGAUUAGGCAAGAACUAAAACACAAUGAUGACAUUCAAAAUCGAUCGGAUCUAAUUGCACGUAUAUUUAGAGCAAAAUUAGAAGAGUUAAAAAAUGAUUUAUACGAGGAAAAUAUCUUGAGCCCUAUUAUUGCGUAUAUAUAUAUGAUUGAAUUCCAAAAAAGAGGGCUCCCUCAUACACAUCUAUUGUUAAUUUUCAACUCUGGUAACAAAACUUCUUGUUCUGAAGAGGUUGAUAGGAAAGUGUCAUGUGAAAUUCCUGAAAAAAAACAAAUACCCUCAUCUUUAUUCUGUUAUUAUUAAACACAAUAUGUAUGACCCUUGUGGAAACCAUAAUCCAAAAAAUCUAUGUAUGGAAGCAAAUAGAGGUUGUAAAAAUAAAUAUCCUAGAGAUUAUUGUAACUCUACUUUAUUUGGACAUAACUCAUACCCAUUGUAUAAACGUCGUGAUAAUGGCAUCUGUUAAAGCUAGAGGUUAAAUGUUAAACAAUCGAUGGGUUGUAUCAUACAAUCCUUAUUUAAGUGCCAAAUUUGAUUGUCACAUUAAUGUUAUAGUAUAUUCUUCUAUCAAAGCCGUAAAAUAUUUGUACAAGUAUGUAUACAAAAGACAUGAUCGUAUUAAUUUCUUAAUUGACACAAAUGAAACAGAUAAAGAAAUUGACGAAAUUUCUGCUUACCAAUCUGUUAGAUGGAUAUCCCCACCUGAAGCUAUAUGGAGAAUUUUUUUCUUUCAGUUUGUCAGAAAUUUGUCCUACCAUUUAUUCUUUGCAACUUCAUAUUAAAAAUCACCAACAAGUAACAUACAAUAGUCAUGAUGAUUUAUCUACAAUUAUUCACAAUGAAAAUAUGAGAAGAACAAUGUUGACAUGAUUUUUUAGAACGAAUAAAGUAAAUGAGUUUGCUCGAACACUGUUGUAUCGAGAUUUUCCUACACAUUUUGUUUGGAAUACAAAUACAAAAAUUUGGAGUCCAAGAAAUAAACAAAUUGUUAUAUGAAGAAUUGUCACAGCCAAUCCAUCUGAAAGAGAACGUUAUUUCCUCUGCAUUCUUCUUAAGCACAUUCGAGGACCAACAUCAUUUCAAGAUUUAGGAAUUUUUAACGGGAUAACUGUUUCAACUUAUCAAGAAGCUGCAAUUCUACACGGUUUAUUAAAUGGAGACAAUCAUAUUGAAGAAUGUUUAUCCGAAGCCAUUGUUUAUGAAUGCGAGUUUCUUUAAGACGUCUUUUUGCUACACUUCUUACGCUUUGCAACCCUGAUAAUCCCAAAUUGUUGUGGGAUAAAUUCAAAGUUUAUAUGAUUGAUGAUUAUGUACAUGAAAAUAUAUCUAUGUAGGUUGUUGAAGUACAAGCUUUAGAGGAACUCAGUUCUAUUUUAGAAUCGUUAGGUAAAAACAUAAACGACUAUGGAAUAUUGUCAUUCAAUGUAAAUGUAGAUGACAAUGAAAGGUUGAGAAGAAUGGUUGCAAAGGAAACAACUAAUUUGGAUAUUCAAGGGGAUAUGCUUGUGCAACAACCUUAAAUAACGAAUAACGGUUUGCAUACGAUACAAUUUUAGAUAAAGUAAAAUCGAAAUCGAGUGGUGCUUUCUUCAUCGACGGUCCAGGUGGAACAGGUAAAACUUUUUUAUAUAAAGCACUCUUGACGGCUGUAAGGUCUCAAAAUUUAAUUGCUUUGACAACUACAUCUUUUGGAGUAUCUGCAUCUCUGUUAGCUGGUGGUAGAACAACUCAUUCAAGAUUUAAAAUUCCUUUAGAAACAGUUGGUGAAAUUAGUUGCUCUGUUAGCAAGCAAUCAUGUUUGGGAACUUUGUUGAAAAUGUCUAGGCUAAUAAUUUGGGAUGAAACACCUAUGGUAAAUCGUUAUGCCGUUGAAGCUGUAGAUAAAAUGCUCCGAGAUAUUACUGAUUGUGACUUGCCUUUCUGCGGUAAAGUGGUGGUUCUCGGGGGAGAUUUUCGACAAGUUCUUCCGAUGGUACCAAAAGAAAAAAAAAGACAUAAUGAGAGCUAACUUAGUAUUCUCUGACCUAUGGCCUUUGUAUUUACAUAUACCAUUAGUUGAAAAUAUGAGGGUGAAGUUGGAUCCGACAUUUUGUGAUUACUUCCUCAGAAUUGGAAAUGGAACAGAGGAAGACAUACUUGUAAGUGCAUUAAGCUUCCAAACGAUAUAAUUUUGCCAUUUGAGGAUGAAAUUACAUCUUUAA
rnacentral:lncRNA from 1 species